rnacentral:rRNA from 1 species
CCUACGGGUGGCAGCAGUGAGGAAUAUUGGUCAAUGGGCGCGAGCCUGAACCAGCCAAGUAGCGUGAAGGAUGACUGCCCUACGGGCUGUAAACUUCUUUUAUAAAGGAAUAAAGUGAGGCACGUGUGCCUUUUUGUAUGUACUUUAUGAAUACGGAUCGGCUAACUCCGUGCCGGCAGCCGCGGUAAUACGGAGGAUCCGAGCGUUAUCCGGAUUUAUUGGGUGUAAAGGGGGAGUAGAUGGGUUGUUAAGUCAGUUGUGAAAGUUUGCGGCUCAACCGUAAAAUUGCAAUUGGUAUUGGGAGGCUUGAGUGCAGGUGGGGCAGGCGGAAUUCGUGGUGUAGCGGUGAAAUGCUUAGAUAUCACGAAGAACUCCGAUUGCGAAGGCAGCUUACUAAACUGCCACUGACAUUGAGGCUCGAAAGUGUGGGGAGCAAACAGGAUUAGAUACCCGAGUAGUC